GAAAAAAAGGAAAUAUAUAAAAAAUAGAAUAUAUAUAUAUUUAUAUAUAUAUAUAUAUAUAUAUAUAUAUAUAUAUAUAUAUAUAUAUAUAUAUAUAUUUUUUUUUUUUUUUUAAUAAUCUCCCCAGAAAGCACUAUAAAAUAAUAAGUCCGGCGCUUUUAUUUAAUUUUUAGUCGACCCUGGCUUGCUUCUUCCGGCUGAGUUCGUCUGGAGGGGCAAGAGGGGCUCUAGCCCCACCAGCCCAAUGCAAUGUGUAUUGGACUGGAACAUUGAAAUGCGCAUGCUCAGAGUGUUUCUCUGUUGAAGUGGACGGAGAUUAUUUUACUUACUGGUGGGGCUAGCCCAAUAUGUCCAUGGUGUGGACUUGGGACCGUUAAAUAUCCCAGGAUGCAUUUCGCAUUUCGCAUUUCGCAUUCCUGUUUUAAAAUAUCAGUGUGUUUCAUUUGAUAAAAACGACAGUGUUACCCCUUAUGUUUUUUUCCCAUGAUGCAUGAUGAAAAACAACAGUGUUACCCCUUAUAUUUUAUUUGACAAGGAAAUAUUAUUUUUUUUCAAAUAUGUUUUUUUUCAUGGCGACCAAUAAAAUACAACAGUGUUACCCCUUAUAUUCUAUUUGACAAAGACAACAGUGUUACCCCUUAUGUUUUUAUUCAUGACGACCAAUAAAAAAACAAGUGUUACCCCUUAUGUUUUUUUUCAUGACGACCAAUAAAAAACAACAGUGUUACCCUUUACGUUUCAUUUGAUAAAAACGAAAGUGUUACCCCUUAUGUUAUUUUCCCACGAUGACUGAUGAAAAAUAACAGUGUUACCCCUUAUAUCUUUUUUCAUGACGACCAAUAAAAAACGACAGUGUUACCCCUUGUGUUUUUUUUCAUGACGACCAAUAAAAAACAAGUGUUACUCCUUAUGUUUUUUUUCUUGACGACCAAUAAAAAACUACAGUGUUACCGCUUAUGUUUUUUUUCAUGACGACCAAUAAAAAGCGACAGUGUUACCCCUUAUAUAUUUUUUCAU